rnacentral:rRNA from 1 species
GCAUAUCAAUAAGCGGAGGAAAAGAAAAUAAAAUGAAACACUUAGUAACUGCGAGUGAAGGGGGAAAAGCUCAAAUUUUAAAUCUGUUAGGUUAUACCUAACCGAGUUGUAAUUUGAAGAGGCGUUUUCUGAGGGUUUGAUCAGUCCAAGUCCUUUGGGAUAAGGCAUCAUGGAGGGUGAGAAUCCCGUUCGGUUGAUCAGAACUUCUUUACGAUACGUCAUCAAAGAGUCAAGUUGUUUGGGAUUGCAGCUUAAAAUGGGAGGUAAAUUUCUCCUAAGGCUAAAUAACGGCGAGAGACCGAUAGCGAACAAGUACCGUGAGGGAAAGAUGAAAAGAACUUUGAAAAGAGAGUUAAACAGUACGUGAAAUUGUUGAAAGGGAAACGAUUGAAGCCAGUCGUACCGGCGGGUAAUCAGCCUUUUGGGUGUGAUUAUGUGGAGUGUGAGGAGUUAAACACCCUCAUCUUUGCAUAUUCGUGCACUUUGGGUGUACUUGCUCGUGUGGUAGGUUAACAUCAAUUUUGAUCGUCAUAAAAUGAUUGGAGGAAUGUAGCUUCGAUCUCGUAUUGAAGUGUUAUAGCCUCUUCGGUAGAUGUGAUGAUUGGGAUUGAGGAUUGCAACGGAUACCCUUCGGGGCUACCUGUCUGAUCUCUGAAAGUUACUCUGGUGCUGAAAGCUUGCUUAUAGUAUCAAAGUUGACGGUUCAACAGGUUAGAACGGGAUAAAUUCGUUAAGGAUGUUGACGUAAUGGCUUUAAACGAC